rnacentral:rRNA from 1 species
GGUAUAGCCGUUCGAGCAGCAGCGGUAAUGAGGAGUUGCCAAGGUUUUGACGUAUGUAUUGGGGAUAAAGGGUCCGCAUUCGGGGUAUUAAGUCAGGUGUGAAAGCCGGCAGCUUAACUGUCGAAUUGACAUUGAUACUGGUACUCUUGAGUGUAGUUGAAGUAGGCGGAAUAAGUCAUGUAGCGGUGAAAUGCAUAGAUAUGACUUAGAACACCGAUUGCGAAGGCAGCUUACUAAGCUAUUACUGACGCUCAUGGACGAAAGCGUGGGGAGCGAACAGGAUUAGAUACCCGAGUAGUC